GCCUUCGUGGUGUAGCGGUCAGCACGCUCGACGCGUAACCGAGAGGUCCGUGGUUCGAUUCCCAGCGAAGCG
rnacentral:tRNA from 1 species